GAUGAACACUAGGUGUCGGGGGAAUCGACCCCCUCGGUGUCGUAGCUAACGCGUUAAGUGUUCCGCCUGGGGAGUACGCACGCAAGUGUGAAACUCAAAGGAAUUGACGGGGGGCCCGCACAAGCGGUGGAGUAUGUGGUUUAAUUCGAUGCAACGCGAAGAACCUUACCAGGGUUUGACAUCCUGCGAAUCCCUUGGAAACUUGGGAGUGCCUUCGGGAGCGCAGAGACAGGUGGUGCAUGGCUGUCGUCAGCUCGUGUCGUGAGAUGUUGGGUUAAGUCCCGCAACGAGCGCAACCCACGUCUUUAGUUGCCAGCAUUUAGUUGGGCACUCUAGAGAGACCGCCGGUGAUAAACCGGAGGAAGGUGUGGAUGACGUCAAGUCAUCAUGCCCCUUACAUCCUGGGCUACACACGUACUACAAUGCUACGGACAAAGGGUUGCAAACUCGCGAGAGCUAGCUAAUCCCAUAAACCGUGGCUCAGUUCAGAUCGUAGGCUGCAACUCGCCUACGUGAAGGAGGAAUCGCUAGUAAUCGCAGGUCAGCAUACUGCGGUGAAUACGUUCCCGGGCCUUGUACACACCGCCCGUCACACCAUGGAAGUUGGCCACGCCCGAAGUCGUUACUCCAACCCGUAAGGGAGGAGA
rnacentral:rRNA from 1 species